rnacentral:lncRNA from 1 species
AUUUUCGCGCUGCUGUUUCAUCGACAGCAGGACAAUCGAUGCCAUGCAACACGAAAACAAUACAAGUUAUAGUUUCUUUAAGAAAUAGCCGAUCGUGUCUGGUUGGCUCAUCGGCGACCAAAUUUCGAAGUUCGCUAGAUCGCUGCAGCUCGCCCUUGCUUCAACGGCUGUAUGUCCGUCGACUCAUCAGCCAGGCCCGUCGUCGUCAUCCGAAGAGCGGUGUGUCUUGAAAGGACGGGGCUCAACCUGGACGCCAAAGACUGCUAAGCGAAGUGGUGAGACAGCUCCAAGACCACAUCGGCAAAAAAGCCGAAGGUAGCAGAUAGCUGCUUCGCCAACUCCGAUCGCUCUGGCUUCCGCAUGUUCACUUCCUCGACGGGAAGCGCUUUGACUCCACUUGCCGUGGCCUGCUUAUGGCUUUAGGAUCAGCGAGUAUGCCACUUGGAUGACUGCAACAUUUUAAUAAUGCUGGUUCCCAAGGGUGUCCAGGUAAUGAGUUGAAUAUGUAUGACCCCUCAAGAAAAACAAAAGUGAGCCUACUGGCAGUGUCAAACGCAACACAGUAUGUGACUGAAGUGCCCUGGCGGGCUACUGCUCCACAACCAUUUGGUGACAUCGACUUGGCGUGGAACAGCAUCCGUCUUAU